GGAAGGAUCAUUAUUGAAUGUGCUUGAUAGGUUGUCGCUGGCUUCAUAUGAAGUAUUGUGCACGCCUGUCUUGACUUCAUUCAUCCACCUGUGCACCCGUUGUAGUCUUUUGUUUUCUCUUUUCUUGCGUUAUAUAACCAUGAAUCGAGUGGAAGGACUAUGCCAUUCAUUACAAACCAUGUAGUAUGUUGUCAGAAUGUGUUCCAAGGGCUUUGAUGCCCAUAAAUCUUUAUACAACUUUCAGCAACGGAUCUCUUGGCUCUCGCAUCGAUGAAGAACGCAGCGAAAUGCGAUAAGUAAUGUGAAUUGCAGAAUUCAGUGAAUCAUCGAAUCUUUGAACGCACCUUGCGCUCCUUGGUAUUCCGAGGAGCAUGCCUGUUUGAGUGUCAGUAAAUCCUCAAGUCCAUCAGCUUUUCUAGUUGGGGUGACUUGGAAAUGGAGGACCUGCGGGCCUUGUAUAAUAUAGGCCGGCUCCUCUGAAAUGCAUUAGCAGAACGAUACUGGAAUUGCCACAGAGUGUGAUAAUAUCUACACUAGUGGAUCACCCAUAGUUGUUUCAGCUUCUAACUGUCCCGCAAAGGUGACAACUAUUUACUGAAUGUUUGACCUCAAAUCAGGUAGGAUUACCCGCUGAACUUAAGCAUAUCAAUAAGCGGAGGAAAAGAAACUAACAAGGAUUCCCCUAGUAACUGCGAGUGAAGCGGGAAAAGCUCAAAUUUAAAAUCUGGUGGUCUAUAGCCAUCCGAGUUGUAAUCUAGAGAAGUGUUGCCCGCGCUGGACCGUGUAUAAGUCUCCUGGGAUGGAGCGUCAUAGAGGGUGAGAAUCCCGUCUCUGACACGGACUACCAGGGCUUUGUGGUACGCUCUCAAAGAGUCGAGUUGUUUGGGAAUGCAGCUCAAAAUGGGUGGUAAAUUCCAUCUAAAGCUAAAUAUUGGCGAGAGACCGAUAGCGAACAAGUACCGUGAGGGAAAGAUGAAAAGAACUUUGGAAAGAGAGUUAAACAGUACGUGAAAUUGCUGAAAGGGAAACGCUUGAAGUCAGUCGCGUUGACCAGGGAUCAGCCUCGCUGUUUGCGUGGUGUACUUUCUGGUUGACGGGUCAGCAUCAAUUUUGACCGUUGGAAAAAGGCUUGAGGAAUGUGGCAGCUCCGGCUGUGUUAUAGCUUCUGGUCAUAUACAGCGGUUAGGAUUGAGGAACUCAGCGCCGCUAAGGCCUAGGAUGCCGGCAUAAUGGCUCUAAGCGACCCGUCUUGAAACACGGACCAAGGAGUCUAACAUGCAUGCGAGUGUUUGGGUGAAAAACUCAAGUGCAUAAUGAAAGUGAAAGUUGAGAUCCCUUUGGGAGCAUCGACGCCCGGACCAGAACUAUUGGGACGGAUCCGCGGUAGAGCGUGUAUGUUGGGACCCGAAAGAUGGUGAACUAUGCCUGAAUAGGGUGAAGCCAGAGGAAACUCUGGUGGAGGCUCGUAGCGAUUCUGACGUGCAAAUCGAUCGUCAAAUUUGGGUAUAGGGGCGAAAGACUAAUCGAACCAUCUAGUAGCUGGUUCCUGC
rnacentral:misc_RNA from 1 species